GUGUGACGAGUGGCGGACGGGUGAGUAAUGUCUGGGAGACUGCCUGAUGGAGGGGGAUAACUACUGGCAAACGGUAGCUAAUACCGCAUAACGUCGCAAGACCAAAGAGGGGGACCUUCGGGCCUCUUGCCAUCAGAUGUGCCCAGAUGGGAUUAGCUAGUAGGUGGGGUAACGGCUCACCUAGGCGACGAUCCCUAGCUGGUCUGAGAGGAUGACCAGCCACACUGGAACUGAGACACGGUCCAGACUCCUACGGGAGGCAGCAGUGGGGAAUAUUGCACAAUGGGCGCAAGCCUGAUGCAGCCAUGCCGCGUGUAUGAAGAAGGCCUUCGGGUUGUAAAGUACUUUCAGCGGGGAGGAAGGCAGUACGGUUAAUAACCGUGUUGAUUGACGUUACCCGCAGAAGAAGCACCGGCUAACUCCGUGCCAGCAGCCGCGGUAAUACGGAGGGUGCAAGCGUUAAUCGGAAUUACUGGGCGUAAAGCGCACGCAGGCGGUCUGUCAAGUCGGAUGUGAAAUCCCCGGGCUCAACCUGGGAACUGCAUCCGAAACUGGCAGGCUUGAGUCUCGUAGAGGGAGGUAGAAUUCCAGGUGUAGCGGUGAAAUGCGUAGAGAUCUGGAGGAAUACCGGUGGCGAAGGCGGCCUCCUGGACGAAGACUGACGCUCAGGUGCGAAAGCGUGGCGGAGCAAACAGGAUUAGAUACCCUGGGAGUCCACGCCGUAAACAAUGUCUAUUUGGAGGGUGGUGCCCUUGAGGCGUGGCUUCCGGAGCUAACGCGUUAAAUAGACCG
rnacentral:rRNA from 1 species